AUGCAGAAAGAGAAUCUUUGGACUGAGCUAAAGUCAAAUUUCACCCUACCGCCGGAGGAUGAUCCGGAGAAGCCAGUUAUAGAGCCAUUAAUCAAGUCUUUUGCUCUGAGGAAGAUGGCAGACCUAUUCAGGAAUUGGAAGAAAGACCUCAAUAGGUAUGUCGAAAAAAAUGAGACACCAGAAUUCAUUGGCAAAUAUGAGAAGAUCAGAGAUGACUGGCCCGCAUUUGUGGCCCACAAGACAUCGGAAAAGAGUAAAAAAAUGUCGGCGACAAACAAGAGAAAUGCUGAGAAGAAGAAGCUUCACCAUCGCACGGGGUCAGGUGGCUACCUCGUAGCCCAGCCUAAGUGGGCCAAGGCUGAGAAUGAUCUGCUUGAUAAAGGGAUCGAACCAAAGACAUUGAACUGGCCAGAACGUUGCCGGACUUGGUUCUUUGGGGUCGGCGGAUCCUUGGACCCUAUAACAGGGAAGUGCAUUUGGACGGAGGAACAAUUGGACAUACCAGUCAAGAAGCUUCAGCAAUAUAUCGAAGCAGCGCAGCAAGGGACGUUCGUUCCAGACAGGGAGAAGGACGAGCUCACAAUGGCCCUCGGCUAUCCUGAGCACCCUGGACGGACACGAGGCACGUCAGGCUCCGUUUCGUGGAAGGCUGGAUUUCCGGACGCAGGGGGUUACAAAACCCACGAGAGGAGGAAGAAACUGGAGCAGAGCCAACUGCAGUCGCUGCACGAAAGGGUAAUGGGGCUAGAGGAACGAGAAGCAGAUCGCAGCAAACGACCUGCCGAAUCUUCCCCCGAAGCUACCCGCCAUCUCAGCGGAAAAGCAGCGUGGCUUCCACCGAGCUGCUUCAGCCAGAGCAUGCCUUGA
rnacentral:rRNA from 1 species